rnacentral:sRNA from 1 species
CUGAAAUCCAUCUCCGAUUCGGUAUCGGAGCCUGA